GGUUAGCUCAGUUGGGUAGAGCACAGUGCUGAUAAUGCUGAGGUUGCAGGUUCAAUCCCUCUAUAGGACA